GACGAACGCUGGCGGCGUGCUUAACACAUGCAAGUCGAACGGAAAGGCCCUGCUUUUGUGGGGUGCUCGAGUGGCGAACGAGUGAGUAACACGUGAGUAACCUGCCCUUGACUUUGGGAUAACUUCAGGAAACUGGGGCUAAUACCGGAUAGGAGCUCCUGCUGCAUGGUGGGGGUUGGAAAGUUUCGGCGGUUGGGGAUGGACUCGCGGCUUAUCAGCUUGUUGGUGGGGUAGUGGCUUACCAAGGCUUUGACGGGUAGCCGGCCUGAGAGGGUGACCGGCCACAUUGGGACUGAGAUACGGCCCAGACUCCUACGGGAGGCAGCAGUGGGGAAUAUUGCACAAUGGGCGGAAGCCUGAUGCAGCAACGCCGCGUGCGGGAUGACGGCCUUCGGGUUGUAAACCGCUUUCGCCUGCGACGAAGCGUGAGUGACGGUAAUGGGUAAAGAAGCACCGGCUAACUACGUG
rnacentral:rRNA from 1 species